GGCUGCCUGUGAAAAGGUAAAACACAUGAGACACGUGGACUGAAGUAAAGAAGUAAAGAGAUCAACUUCAACAAACAAUAAUAAAGCGAAAUUGCAUUGAUUUAGAGACUAGAAAGAAUGAACUGCCCCCACCAGCACUGGAUACGAGCACAGGAUUCCCAGUUGAAGACCCAAACAAAACAUUUAUCCAUUUCUAAAUAUGAAUAGCAUAUGAUUACUUAUCAUUCACUGGCAAUGGCUAAAAAAUUAUGCCAUUCAACAACCAUUCGCAUUAGGCUCAAACAGAACUUCAAUGUUUUCCCUUGUUGAGUAAUCUCAAGCUCAAGGUGAUCAUCGACUUAACAAUAUCCGAUUUUAGAACAAGGCUGAAAGCAGUAUAAAGGGGCCCAAAUAGAAAGAGG
rnacentral:misc_RNA from 1 species